rnacentral:rRNA from 1 species
GAUGAACGCUGGCGGCGUGCCUAAUACAUGCAAGUCGAGCGAACGGACGAGAAGCUUGCUUUUCUGAUGUUAGCGGCGGACGGGUGAGUAACACGUGGAUAACCUACCUAUAAGACUGGGAUAACUUCGGGAAACCGGAGCUAAUACCGGAUAAUAUUUUGAACCGCAUGGUUCAAAAGUGAAAGACGGUCUUGCUGUCACUUAUAGAUGGAUCCGCGCUGCAUUAGCUAGUUGGUAAGGUAACGGCUUACCAAGGCAACGAUGCAUAGCCGACCUGAGAGGGUGAUCGGCCACACUGGAACUGAGACACGGUCCAGACUCCUACGGGAGGCAGCAGUAGGGAAUCUUCCGCAAUGGGCGAAAGCCUGACGGAGCAACGCCGCGUGAGUGAUGAAGGUCUUCGGAUCGUAAAACUCUGUUAUUAGGGAAGAACAUAUGUGUAAGUAACUGUGCACAUCUUGACGGUACCUAAUCAGAAAGCCACGGCUAACUACGUGCCAGCAGCCGCGGUAAUACGUAGGUGGCAAGCGUUAUCCGGAAUUAUUGGGCGUAAAGCGCGCGUAGGCGGUUUUUUAAGUCUGAUGUGAAAGCCCACGGCUCAACCGUGGAGGGUCAUUGGAAACUGGAAAACUUGAGUGCAGAAGAGGAAAGUGGAAUUCCAUGUGUAGCGGUGAAAUGCGCAGAGAUGUGGAGGAACACCAGUGGCGAAGGCGACUUUCUGGUCUGUAACUGACGCUGAUGUGCGAAAGCGUGGGGAUCAAACAGGAUUAGAUACCCUGGUAGUCCACGCCGUAAACGAUGAGUGCUAAGUGUUAGGGGGUUUCCGCCCCUUAGUGCUGCAGCUAACGCAUUAAGCACUCCGCCUGGGGAGUACGACCGCAAGGUUGAAACUCAAAGGAAUUGACGGGGGCCCGCACAAGCGGUGGAGCAUGUGGUUUAAUUCGAAGCAACGCGAAGAACCUUACCAAAUCUUGACAUCCUUUGACAACUCUAGAGAUAGAGCCUUCCCCUUCGGGGGACAAAGUGACAGGUGGUGCAUGGUUGUCGUCAGCUCGUGUCGUGAGAUGUUGGGUUAAGUCCCGCAACGAGCGCAACCCUUAAGCUUAGUUGCCAUCAUUAAGUUGGGCACUCUAAGUUGACUGCCGGUGACAAACCGGAGGAAGGUGGGGAUGACGUCAAAUCAUCAUGCCCCUUAUGAUUUGGGCUACACACGUGCUACAAUGGACAAUACAAAGGGCAGCGAAACCGCGAGGUCAAGCAAAUCCCAUAAAGUUGUUCUCAGUUCGGAUUGUAGUCUGCAACUCGACUACAUGAAGCUGGAAUCGCUAGUAAUCGUAGAUCAGCAUGCUACGGUGAAUACGUUCCCGGGUC